AAUGCAGAGGUGGGGGACAGAGUGGGUGGGGAGGGGAGCCGCCAUACAGUGGCCAGGACCAGCUUUGCCCAAGUGGUGGCAACCGCAUGACCACAGGAACGAUGGCGUGAGCCCCGUGGCAACCUGGAGGAAGGGCCAAGCCACUGGUGAAUAUGCUGCAAAAAAUAUGCUGGAACUUCUAUGAAUACCACAGGGUGUGAGAAGAAAACAUUAGAACUUCUAUUUUGUACCUGUGUUACUCCACAACAAGAAAGCAAUCAGCUUGAUCAAUGCCUACUGUAAAGACGGCACCGCCCUCCGGAGGUCCUUUCUCAGCCCUGGUGUUCGGACAGCCACAUCCCCUCGCAGCAGGGGGAGGCCUGAAGCAUAGAGGGGCCCAUGCAGGUCUAUUCUGUUUCAGCGAAUUGCCUGGGAAAUAAUCCAGGAUCCAUUUCGUGUGGUCAUCUUGUCUCCCUGGUCCCCUCCAGCCUUUCCUCAUCUUUUGUGACCUGGUCACUCUGGAAGGGCGCUGGCCAGUUAGUCCACAGGAUGGGCCUCCCCUGGGGCUUUUCUGAUGCUUCCUUAUGAUGGCACUGGCAUCCUGAGGGGGAGGACCACAGAGAGGAGGUGCUCCUCAUCACACCACAUGGGGGUCCAUGCACCAGUGCCACUGCUUUCCAGGGCUCUUCACCUUCAUCACUGGUGGAGGUGGCGUCUGCCAAGAAGCAGAAAGUUGAGGCUUAGAAGGUGCACGGCCCUACCUCUUCCGAGGUGCCCCUGCGGGCUGUCUACAGACCAGGCAGCACAUGCCUGAUAGCAGCUGCAUAAGGAAAAGCAGGAGCCAGCUCGUGCACAGUGGCCUCAAGUGUGCACUGGGCAUGUUCUCUGCCUCACCAUCCCUGUGUGACAGAUGAAGAUGCUUCAGUUGCCCACCAGGAGCCAAUUCAUGUUCCCUUGCAGGGAAAUGGACAAGGGACCUGCUGCUGGCUUAUACGAGGAAAGGCCGUCUCACCUGGGGGCUUUGGGGAAAAGUUUGCUUUCAGAUGGAGAAAGAGAUGGAGCCUCUCAAGGAGAAAGCAUUUCCCUCUGGUGCUUCCCUUCUUUGUGCCUGCAGCUUCAAGGACCACAGAGGGCCAAGUGCAGGAGUAAGAGGCUGGCGUGCUGACAGUGGCCAAGGGCAUUGGAGGGAAGGACCUGUCAUCACUGGGCCAAGGAAGGAACUCCAGACUGCCUACUUCCAGAGGGCCUGCUGAGGAAUUUUAGCUUGAACUUGCCUGCCUUGACUAGGGCUUUCUGAGCAGCAGAUGAUUCUGCAAUGGUGUUAGUCCAGGCCUGGUUCUGCAUGACAUUGACCAUACUGUGCACCCUGGGGUCAUUAUGUCUUGGGCUUCAAGGGGCUCCAUGGGCUCCAGGGGGCUCCAUGUGACACUGCACAGAGCUCUCUCUAGGUCACCUGGAUGUGUCUCUUCCUAGGAACCCCAAAGAGCUCUCUCAACAAACACACCCACGAGUUCCAGGAGUGAGGCUGCAGGGAACAGCCUCACUCUCAGAGGGGAUACAGAAUUGUUCCACUGGACAAGGGCUGGGAUCGUCAUAGGAUGCCGUUGGCCUGUGGUUUCCAACAGAGGUGCAGUUCAUUGAACUGUGGUCUACAGUCCAUUCUCUAACUUGGGGACCCUUGAAGAAGUGUGGAAUCAUGACAACAACCCUGUUGGGAGACACUAUUAUUCCCAUCACAUGGAUGAGCACACGGAGGCAAAAGGAAGUUAUAUGAUUGUCUGAGAUCACCCAGUGAAGACUGUGUGGCUGGGAGUUGUCCCCAGUGUUAUCUGCACGCUGCUUCCUUUUGAUGCCUGGCCCUUCUUUAUCAAAAGAAGCAUUGGCAGAAUCUGGGUGUUUAUGGGUCAGCUCAAAAUAAAUUACUUUAUAUGUC
ensembl:lncRNA LINC01471 long intergenic non-protein coding RNA 1471